rnacentral:rRNA from 1 species
GGGAUGGACGCACCGCUGGUGUACCAGUUGUUCUGCCAAGGGCAUCGCUGGGUAGCUAUGUGCGGACGGGAUAAGUGCUGAAAGCAUCUAAGCAUGAAGCCCCCCUCAAGAUGAGAUUUCCCAUUCCGCAAGGAAGUAAGAUCCCUGAAAGAUGAUCAGGUUGAUAGGUCUGAGGUGGAAGUGUGGCGACACAUGGAGCUGACAGAUACUAAUCGAUCGAGGACUUAACCUAAA